rnacentral:rRNA from 1 species
CACCGAGAUUCAACAUGGAACGAGUGGCGGACGGGUGAGUAACACGUGGGUAACCUGCCCUUAAGUGGGGGAUAACAUUUGGAAACAGAUGCUAAUACCGCAUAGAUCCAAGAACCGCAUGGUUCUUGCUGAAAGAUGGCGUAAGCUAUCGCUUUUGGAUGGACCCGCGGCGUAUUAGCUAGUUGUGAGGUAAUGGCUCACCAAGGCGAUGAUACGUAGCCGAACUGAGAGGUUGAUCGGCCACAUUGGGACUGAGACACGGCCCAAACUCCUACGGGAGGCAGCAGUAGGGGAAUCUUCCACAAUGGACGCAAGUCUGAUGGAGCAACGCCGCGUGAGUGAAGAAGGCUUUCGGGUCGUAAAACUCUGUUGUUGGAGAAGAAUGGUCGGCAGAGUAACUGUUGUCGGCGUGACGGUAUCCAACCCAGAAAGCCACGGCUAACUACGCCACACCACGCGGUAUAACACGUAUGUCGAAGCGUUAUCCGGAUUUAUUGGGGGCAUAGAGAGAGCACGCGGUGUUUUAAGUCUGAUGUGAAAGCCCUCGGCGUUAUCCGAGAAGGUAUCAGACUGUGAACUUGUGAGCGAAGAGGGACAGUGGAACUCCAUGUGUAGCGGUGAAAUGCGUAGAUAUAUGGAAGAACACCAGUGGCGAAGGCGGCUGUCUAGUCUGUAACUGACGCUGAGGCUCGAAAGCAUGGGUAGCGAACAGGAUUAAAUACACCGGAUACCCUGGCCGCACCCAAUGAGUGCUAAGUGUUGGAGGGUUUCCGCCCUUCAGUGCUGCAGCUAACGCAUUAAGCACUCCGCCUGGGGAGUACGACCGCAAGGUUGAAACUCAAAGGAAUUGACGGGGGCCCGCACAAGCGGUGGAGCAUGUGGUUUAAUUCGGAAGCUACGCGAAGAACCUUACCAGGUCUUGACAUCUUCUGCCAAUCUUAGAGAUAAGACUUCCCUUCGGGCCAAAAGAAAGGGGGCCAUGGUUGCCCCCCUCCGCCCGAAAUUUGGAUAAUCCCUACCACCAACCCUUUUAUCAGUUGCCUUCAGUUGGGCACUCUGGGAGACUGCCGGCACACCCGAAAAGGGGGGGAGGGCAAAUCUUCGGCCCUUUAUCCCGGGUUUCCCCGGGUUCAAGGGGGGGAAAAAAGUGAAAAACGGGGGGCACUUUUUUUUAACCCUCUUUCUUCGGAUUGUAGGCUGCAACUCGCCUACAUGAAGUUGGAAUCGCUAGUAAUCGCGGAUCAGCAUGCCGCGGUGACCCCCCCCCCAAAUUUUAAACCAA